CAAAGAAAUAAACAAAAACCACCCGAAGGCGAUUCUAGUUAAGGCCUAGUAUCCACAUCGAUGGAACUGGGAAUAACUUAUUAAAGAGAGUGAAAGGUAAAUAAAAAUUUACGUUUUCGAUGGGUCCGUUCUAAAAAAAAUUUGAGAUGCGCAAGAACCAAGUCCCCAAAAAAAACUUUUGUAAGUUUCAAGAUGUGAGCGUGACAGACACACAGACGCACAUGUCUAGAUCGACGAAAUAAUACUCCUUGAAUGCGGACAGUCUCCCAGUGUGGGACCUGAACCACAAGAAGAAGGAAAUUGCGCUUGUCAUGGACAAAGUGACCAUUUUGAGUUAGUAAAUAUUUGAAAUAAAUACAAUACACAAUGUAUGAAUGGAUAUAAGUUGAAUGCUACGUUGAUCAAUCCCUAACGAGAAUCAAGAGAAGGCAAGAAGGAAUUGAACUGAAGAAAAAGCAAGCCGUGUAAACUUUGCUUCCCAAUUUUAUUUCCUGUCGGUCAUGCUGUAACUUUUCAGCAAAACCACCAGUAAUGCGCUUUCUGACGAACUCUACCUUAAAUUACAUAGGAAGAAGCGAAAAAAGUUAAGAGAAAGCUGGAUUGCCAUGAUGCUGUGUAUUAGUUUUCUUAAUGACAUUAAUGCAAAAAAUUCCUUAACGGUCGGCCUUAUUUCCUCCUCCCUAAAGAAUCCAGUGCAUCCUUCAGCUUCACAUUGUCGGCCAAGUAGAUGGUGGUGAUAAAGUCCAGUGUUCCCCUAAUGGAGAGCAUGGCAGAGAUCGUAUUACUGGUAUAUUAGCAGGACGUGACCAACAUUUUUUUGCCCAGAGCUUACAUUAUAUGCAUAAAAAGGACCGUCGUGAUGUCCAUGUCCAAGUA